ACAUAGGCAGAGAAGAGAAGAAGUACGAGUAAGAAAGAGCCAACAGAGAAUAGCCGGCUGGUGAGAGGCAUGGGAAAUCGCUUAUUUGGAAUACAUCUUGGAGCUUCGGCAUUGAAACCAGGUAGGUGCUGACGGAAGAGGGGAAACCCGGCACACGUUAUCGUGCAGGAGUAUUCGUGCCAUACGGCAGGUGUACUUGAUGAGGCAGUCGAUGCGAGUCGAUUGUGAAAAAAGGUGGUAACACGGGAUAUGAUAUCUCUCGUCCUUUGA
rnacentral:ncRNA from 1 species